rnacentral:misc_RNA from 1 species
AACGCACCUUGCGCUCCUUGGUACUCUGAGGAGCAUGCCUGUUUGAGUGUCAUAAAAACUCUCAACUGCUUUUAGCCUUGACUGGUUAAAGUGAAGUUGGACUUGGAGGAUAUAAUUGCUGGCGUAAAUCUGCUUGUCAGCUCCUCUUAAAUAGAUAAGCUUUUUAGUAGAUCAUGGUUAAAGUAACGGCAACGUGAUAGUUAUCUAUGUUGGACGUGAAUAGCCAUAUAAAGAGAGGUUCUUAUUAGAAUCUCCUAUUGAAAAGAAGCUCUUGAUAAAAACAAUAUAUAUAUAUGACAGAUUUGGCCUCAAAUCAGGUAGGAUUACCCGCUGAACUUAA